CCCCCAUCCCCAGUCCAUACAGGAGAGGAGAGGAAAGAGACUCAGUCUCUCAAGCCUCCCUCGGGGGGGCGGGGGAGCUGAGACCCUUCCAGUCCCCUUGCAGUGUGGCGAUCCCUGACGUGCAGGAGACAGGUCCCAAGGGCAUGAUUGUUUUAAAGAUAAAACCUUGGGUUUGGGGUUUUGACUAAUUACAGGUAGGAGGCGCCUCACAGCUUCCCUCCUGGGGAGAGGGAGAAAAGAGUAAACAGAGCCACCCACAGCAAGGGAGGAAUGAAGGCAAUCUGGAGACCUAGGUGGCAUUCAUUUACCAGACCUGCUGGAGCAGUUGUCUGCUGUGAUCUGGCAAAUCCUCUCUAGAAUUGUGUAUUCCAAACUGUUGCAUAUUACCAGCUCUGUGAUGCUGCCAUUGUUAAAACGGUACAGCUCGUGCACACUUGACUGCUUGUGCUGGGUUUGCUCGUCAUCACUGUGAGACCUGGCACUGGCAGAAGACACAGAGGGUAG